rnacentral:rRNA from 1 species
GAACGCGUCUUGGUUAUUGAUGUUAAGUGCUUGCAUUUAACUGAUUUCCAUUGAGACGAGUGGCGAACUGGUGAGUAACACGUGGGUAACCUGCCCUUGAAGUAGGGGAUAACACUUGGAAACAGGUGCUAAUACCGUAUAGCAACCAAAACCACCUGGUUUUGGUUUAAAAGAUGGCUUCGGCUAUCACUUUAGGAUGGACCCGCGGCGUAUUAGCUUGUUGGUAAGGUAACGGCCUACCAAGGCAAUGAUACGUAGCCGACCUGAGAGGGUAAUCGGCCACAUUGGGACUGAGACACGGCCCAAACUCCUACGGGAGGCAGCAGUAGGGAAUCUUCCACAAUGGACGAAAGUCUGAUGGAGCAACGCCGCGUGAGUGAUGAAGGGUUUCGGCUCGUAAAACUCUGUUGUUGGAGAAGAACAGGUGUGAGAGUAACUGUUCACAUCUUGACGGUAUCCAACCAGAAAGCCACGGCUAACUACGUGCCAGCAGCCGCGGUAAUACGUAGGUGGCAAGCGUUGUCCGGAUUUAUUGGGCGUAAAGCGAGCGCAGGCGGUUUCUUAGGUCUGAUGUGAAAGCCUUCGGCUUAACCGGAGAAGUGCAUCGGAAACCAGGAGACUUGAGUGCAGAAGAGGACAGUGGAACUCCAUGUGUAGCGGUGAAAUGCGUAGAUAUAUGGAAGAACACCAGUGGCGAAGGCGGCUGUCUGGUCUGUAACUGACGCUGAGGCUCGAAAGCAUGGGUAGCGAACAGGAUUAGAUACCCUGGUAGUCCAUGCCGUAAACGAUGAGUGCUAAGUGUUGGAGGGUUUCCGCCCUUCAGUGCUGCAGCUAACGCAUUAAGCACUCCGCCUGGGGAGUACGACCGCAAGGUUGAAACUCAAAG